AAACCAGACAUUCUGGAAGUUGAGUUAAGGCAGCAGCCCAUGUUCUUUAAAGAGGUAAAUCCUCAGCCAAGAAAGCAUACUAAUUGGGAAGCUUGUUCUGAUUUUACCAGUGGGAAUGCAACCACAAACAGGAGGCACUAUCUUGAGUUUGCAGAAGGAACUUUGGAGAAACAUUAUGAAAGGCUUUUACGUUCUGAUCAUCGGCUACUUACGUUGAGUCAGAAAGUUUUUGCAAGCCAUGAUUCUCAGUUUUUUGAAACCGUUAAUAGCGACAUGCAAGAUAUGUGCAUGCUC